AGAGUUUGAUCAUGGCUCAGAUUGAACGCUGGCGGAAUGCUUUACACAUGCAAGUCGAACGGCAGCACGGGGCAACCUGGUGGCGAGUGGCGAACGGGUGAGUAAUACAUCGGAACGUGCCCAAUCGUGGGGAUAACGUAGCGAAAGUUACGCUAAUACCGCAUACGAUCUACGGAUGAAAGCGGGGGAUCGCAAGACCUCGCGCGAAUGGAGCGGCCGAUGUCAGAUUAGGUAGUUGGUGGGGUAAAGGCUCACCAAGCCAACGAUCUGUAGCUGGUCUGAGAGGACGACCAGCCACACUGGAACUGAGACACGGUCCAGACUCCUACGGGAGGCAGCAGUGGGGAAUUUUGGACAAUGGGCGCAAGCCUGAUCCAGCCAUUCCGCGUGCAGGAUGAAGGCCUUUGGGUUGUAAACUGCUUUUGUACGGAACGAAAAGGUCCUGGUUAAUACCUGGGGCUCAUGACGGUACCGUAAGAAUAAGCACCGGCUAACUACGUG
rnacentral:rRNA from 1 species